rnacentral:rRNA from 1 species
UACGUAGGUGGCAAGCGUUGUCCGGAUUUACUGGGCGUAAAGAGCGCGCAGGCGGUCGUUCAAGUCGCGUGUGAAAGCCCCCGGCUCAACUGGGGAGGGUCACGCGAUACUGAUCGACUCGAAGGCAGGAGAGGGUAGUGGAAUUCCCGGUGUAGUGGUGAAAUGCGCAGAUAUCAGGAGGAACACCGGUGGCGAAGGCGGGUCUCUGGGCCGAUACUGACGCUGAGGAGCGAAAGCGUGGGGAGCGAACAGG